rnacentral:rRNA from 1 species
UACGAGUGCCCCGAGCGUUAUCCGGAAUCAUUGGGCGUAAAGGGUGUGUAGGUGGUUGUGUUAGUCUUUUGUCAAAACCCGGAGCUUAACUCCGGAACCGCGAAAGAAACGGCACAACUAGAGGAUGCGAGGGAUGUGUGGAACUCAUGGAGUAGGGGUGAAAUCCGUUGAUAUCAUGGGGAACACCAAAAGCGAAGGCAGCACAUUGGCGCAUUCCUGACACUGAAACACGAAAGCGUGGGUAGCGAAUGGG